AUGUUAUUAAAACUUGAACUAAUGCAUUGUGAGUCUUAUAAAUUACUUACAUACCUCACCGAUUUCCCACUCUCUGGAAAACGCUCGGUUUAGUUCCUGUCUCCGCCUCCCAAAAUGUCUAGUGUAAUCGGAUUGGUCAGAUGACUACUCAACUGUUAUUGGUCAGCUGGGUUCGGCGUGUGUUUGAAAGGUUACGCCCCUGACUACGCGUGGGUUGACCCGUUCUGACUGAGAGUCACAGCCUCAGAGGCAACGUAAACAAGCGUUAUAUUUCUCUAUAAACGAUGGUGUCUGUACUGCCUUACCACUUCGAGCUCGAUCCAGAGAGUUCAGAAGGCCGUUACGAUAUAAACAAUCUCCGUCAAUGAAUGCGAUUGGAUUCAACUUUUUUAGGUGUCCUUAGCUCUGCCAGAAUGCUAAACGAAACGAAGACGAAAAUGUGUUGCAAAGACAUCCAAAAGGUUUUAAGGAGAAUGCAACAGGUUCCAGGGCCUCUUACCUGCGUGAUUCAUCAUCCAGGUUUUGCACAAAUUGUCUAAAUCCCUACACACAGAACAUUUAUUGUACCGACUAUAAGCCUUUGAGGCGCAGGACUAGAGUAAGUUUUAUUACAGUUUUAAACCAAUAACACUAAAGUAUUAUUAUAGUAACAAAGUACCCAAAAGAACAAAAGAUGUAACUUUAAAGAAAAUAUAGUAGUCAGUCAAAAGUUUAUUUAUUACAAAUAUAUAUUUAAAUGUUAAACAAUAUACAAAUAAACAUACUUUAGUAACCAUAUUGUGCUCUUCUUUCAAAAAUUGUUCAAUUCACUUCUUACAGCUAUCUAUUCAGAUAAAUGGCAUAUCAAAGCUUUGUCAGCUGGUGCUAUCUAAGACGACACUUUAGGGUUAUCAUCCUGUCGUGUGUUGUUCUCCAGAUAUGUUUGGAGCUUCCUGAUCGGAAUGUUGGCUUCCGACGACCCCUGCACUGAAGAUGGCAUGCAAUCACGUCCUCCUUUGAAGGUCUCUCAAACUGUGAUGCCAGGUCCAUUGGAAUCGGGGUUUCCUUCAGCUUAUCUUCAAAUACCUCAGCAAACACAAGCCUGAUCACAUCAUCCACAUAACUGUACAAAUAUUGCAGUCAAUAAAUCUUUUGUUUUGAUCAUUUA